AUACUAGUGAUAUAUAUAUAUAUAUUUUUAUACUACUUUUUUCCUGGUAAAAUUGCUACUUCCAGAAUAAAAGUCAACAAUAACACCAGAUUAAAAGAAAAGAAAUAACAUUUUUACUUAUUAUAUAAAAUGUCCUAUAAAAUAGUUUUGGGGUACAUAAAAUUGCAAAUAUUAAACAUAUGAGAAGGCUCAUUUUCCAGUUUGCUGAAACGGUGCAUUCUGAUAUCACUGUGCCCUGUGGUAACCAUUCAUUUAGUACAGAUACAGGAAAAUAAAAUUUUUAAAAAUGCCUACACCAGAAAAAUACAUUGCUUUAGCUAUUGGCAACAUUUCAGUGUAGAAUGCAGUUCUCUGAGCAUGAUAUGUACUCACUAUGUGAAUUUUUCACCAAGAAGCCAAGGUGGGAAAAUAAGACAAACUGGCUUCCCCACCAAGCCCUUGCCAACUGUCUGUCGCUGUAACGUGCUGAGCUGUCUAAUGCUUUACUUUCUGGACAGACACCACCAGUCCCAUAGAACUUUACCAAGCGUUUAAAACUUUUUUUUUUUUUUGCCUGGGGAUCGAACUCGGGUCCUUGUGGUUGCGAGGCAGGUGACGGAAGUGCUGAGUUAAAUCCCCAGCCCCGUUUAAAAACUUUUUAAUUCUGGAGUAGUGCUUUUGAGAAAAUAUACACUGGAAUGGAAAUCAAAAAUUUCAGAAUCCUAUUAAGAAAAAGAUAAAAUCUCAUAUUUUGUUGGUCUGCCAAUUUAAGAAACAAAAAUGACAUCAGGCCAUAUGCCCUGUUUCUUGCUUAAUAAGUGAUCUUACUGUAUCUUUCCAAUGGAAUAAAUUAUAGUUUUAGGGGAUGCAUAGUGUUCUACUAAAAUAGUGAAAGGAGUCACAGUUGCUAGAUAUGCAGAAUGUUACCACGUUGGGCUUGUAAAACAAUAUCAUAGUAGAAAACUCUGUUCAUAAUUUUAUACAAUAUGUACACAUAUCUUGAUUAUUUCCUUUGAAUAAAUAUUUAGACAUAGAAUUGCUGGAUCAGUGAUGUUAAUUUAUAAAAGAGCUUUGAUCUAUUUUGCACAAAUUCUUUCCAGAAUGCCAGUGUACUUUACACUCAAAAUAACAUUUUUACUAAUAUACCAAUACAGCUUCAAAAUUUAAAAUGUUUAAAUCAGUAGGAAAGGUAGCUCAUAUUUUUAUUUCUUUGAGGUGGUCAGCCUGAAUAUUUUGAAUUAGCCAAUAUGUUUAUUGGAUGCUUGGAUUUAUUUUAUGAGUUGCAAUUUUGUGUUCUUUGCGUAUUUUUCAUCUUUUUUGUUUGUGAGAGAUUUUUAUUCACAGUAAUUCUGUGUGUUUCUUAGUUGCACUUUUUGAGUCACCUUUUAAAAUUGCUUCCUCUUUUAAAUCACUGAGGUGCUUUGUUCUGUAGAAUACUAAAUAUUUCUGGGUGUUGAUGUCAAAUCCAUCAAUUUUUUCUCGUGUAAUUUCUGACUUUGUGAAGUUUGAAAAAUACUCAUCUCUCUUUGUUUAUAGUCUUUUUGAUGACAUUUAUAUCUAUUUAAAUUUUUAAUCUUUUGGAAGUUAUUUUAGUAAGGAAUGUAGUAGGCACCUAAAUUCAUUACUGUUUAGAAAAUGGCUAGAAUUGUCCAGCUCCUUUGUUCUGUAACUACUCUUUCCCCAUUGAUUUGAAAUAGCAUCCGUGUCCCCUCACCCCUGCACCUGCUGUAGCUCCCACCUUCCUUGUGACUCUUUGGCCGUUGUGAGGGGCCAGACUUUCCACCCUCAGGCCUUCUUGCCCAUGCUGCAGCGCAUGACUGCAGGGUCCUUGCUGACUCCCUGAGCUUUCUUGAUCCACAUCUGUCUUCCACGCCCAGCCGCAGCAGGACCAGGACAUCCAUUUCCCAGUGUAGCGCCCAGCUUCCUAAAUUCCCCUUGUGGAGUGGGAAUGCGUGCCUCAGCUCCAUCUGUAUCGCCUGUCUGACCACGGCUUUCUGUCUCUCUGGAAAACUGACUGUUUGCUACAGCUCCUGUGCCUCCCGAGCCGCUGUUCCUCCACUCGGUGCUCGCCGUGGCUGCCAUUGCUCCUUCUGUCGUCCACCCGGCACCUGGGCAGUCUGAGCCUCCUGAGGGCCCGGAGACAGGCAGGGCUCUGUCCUCCUCCCGACCUCAUGCUCAGCUGGGGACUUCGCGUGCCCAGGGACAGCGACCGGUCCAGCCGUGUCAGCCUGCGCGCCCUGGGCCGUCACCCUGUGCACGGUGGCUUUCCUAAAAUCUCACAUUCUGAGACUGCUCUGUCUCCGUCCUAGUCAGCAGGCGGAGGGCACCAUGACUGGGCGUGGUGCUGCUGCUCAGGCCACCUGUCCUCACCCCUUCCUUCUUUGAGUGCUCGAAGUGAGGCGUUUGCCAGCCGGUCUCUGUCUCCUCAGCACGGGGUCCGGGAGGUUCCACCCCCCCCCCCCGGUCUCCCGACCGGCCGGAGCCCCUCAGCACAGUGCCCUGACCCUGCCAUCUCCGCAGACCACCACCAGACCCGGGUGCUUCCGGGUAGCCUGGCAGACUCCCGCUUUUCCUGGGACUGAACUGUUCCUCAGGUUCUGUGUGGAGUAAGGAGGCUGAGGCAGGAAGGUCACGAAGAGUUUGAUGGCAGCCAGGACCACUUGGAGGGACCCUGUCUCCAAACUCCCCCCAAAACAACAGAAAACCCCAAAACAAAAACACAUAAACACGAAAGUCCUCUGUCUUCAUCUUUGCUUGUAUGGUGCACUAUUAUUUUGUCUAACGUACAUGGUCUCUCUCACUAUUUCCGGUCUUUCUACAUGACCCUUCAAAUCCACCGUGGGCUGAGAAAGACACCCUGGAGCACAUCUGUUGGGAGUAUUACAGUUGCGCAAGGCACACAACCCACAUCACAUUGGAAUAAGGCGGAAGAUGUCCAUCUCACGGAAAUACUCAGCCUUCAGUCAUGUGCCUGGAGUUUAAAUGACUUGACGGAGACCCAGUUUCCUUCUCAUCCAUCCUCUUCCUCACCUGGGCUUCCUCCUCGGCCCCUGCUCCUGACAGCUCCGAGACAAACUGGUCAGCGCAAGUUCAGAGAAGACCAGUGCGAUCCGCCCAGUAGCUCUGGUGCUGGUUCCAGGAUGCAGCAGCUGCCACACACGCCUGUCCUGGACGCAGUUGCUGUGGCUGGGAAACUGUCCCCAGCCCGCUCUGGGCAGCUGCGGUCCUGUCUCUGGGACAAGGGGCAGCUCCAGUUGUCAGGUGGAGGCCUCCACAUCAUUCUUGGAAACAAGAGGCUCAAACGGAGGGAGAGGGGCGGAGGGAAAGCUCCAGGCAGAAGAGGAGCAGUGGAAAUGCCGCAGCCUGGUGACAAACGGGUUACAGAAACCAGGGCUAGGGACAGGCGUGGGGAAGCCCUCGGGACUGCUUUAUGGGGAAAGCCCGAGCAUUAUUAGCAUACACGUUCGCACGAUGGUUAUUUGGUGGGACAGCAGUAUUUCUUCAUAUCCCAGUUUAGCUGUAUUCUUUGCAGCUAAAGUUGCAAAAUAAGUAAGCUUUGUAUAUGUAAACCUUCA